rnacentral:rRNA from 1 species
UACAGAGGGGGCAAGCGUUGUUCGGAAUUACUGGGCGUAAAGGGCGCGUAGGCGGCCUGCUAAGUCGAACGUGAAAUCCCCGAGCUCAACUCGGGAACUGCGUCCGAUACUGGCAGGCUUGAAUCCGGGAGAGGGAAGCGGAAUUCCCGGUGUAGUGGUGAAAUGCGUAGAUAUCGGGAGGAACACCAGUGGCGAAGGCGGCUUUCUGGCCUGUUCUUGACGCUGAGGCGCGAAAGCUAGGGGAGCAAACGGG